rnacentral:rRNA from 1 species
GACGAACGCUGGCGGCGUGCUUAACACAUGCAAGUCGAACGGAAAGGCCCUGCUUUUGUGGGGUUCUCGAGUGGCGAACGGGUGAGUAACACGUGAGUAACCUGCCCUUGACUUUGGGAUAACUUCACGAAACUGGGGCUAAUAUCGGAUAGGAGCUCCUGCUCCAUGGUGGGCGUUGGAAAGUUUCGGCGGUUGGGGAUGGACUCGCGGCUUAUCAGCUUGUUGGUGGGGUAGUGGCUUACCAAGGCUUUGACGGGUAGCCGGCCUGGGAGGGUGACCGGCCACAUUGGGACUAAGAGACGGACCAGACUCCUACGGGAGGCAGCAGUGGGGAGUAUUGCACAAUGGGCGGGAGCCUGAUGCAGCAGCGCCGCGUGCGGGAUGACGGCCUUCGGGUUAUGAACCGCUUUCGCCUGUGACGAAGCGUGAGUGACGGUAAUGGGUAAAGAAGCACCGGCUAACUACGUG